rnacentral:ncRNA from 2 species
GUCGCAACCUCGGGGAGCCAAUGACCUUGGCUGAGAUGCGCUAUGCGAACCCGUUGAACCUGAACCGGUUAAGACCGGCGGAGGGAAGGUAACGGGUGCUCUG